rnacentral:lncRNA from 12 species
GCCCAAAGGGUUGGUUUUGCCUCUUUAAGCAGCACGGCCCUCUCUGCACCCACAGAACGGUCAGCACUCCUGAUCGUUGGCUGAAGAGUGUUCACAGGUCUGCUGCCACCCGCCUCUCUGCUCCUGCUUUUGGGUGGGACCCGACAGUGUGGACCUGGCUGGUCGGCAGGUGGCAAUACUUGUGCAGCACAGCCAGAGAGGGCAUCUGUCUGCAGAACUGAUCACAGCGGUGGUAGGACACCUCUGUGUGGAAUGUGACAAUGAACAAAAUUGCUGCCCUUGUCUCCUCUUUUGCCUGACACGGCUCCCUGUCAGUGUGUGUGUGUGUCUGUGGUGUGUGCUCAAGAAACAACAAGAACCAUGCUCCCCAAGGCCACCCGGACUCUACGAUCUGUUCCGUCAGCAUUCCCCAGACAGAUUGCUUACCCAGGCCGCUCCUGGCCAGAACUCUGCUAGUGCAUCUGACGGGGCCAUAGCACCCGCUGCUUGCCAUCAGUGGAAGGGGACAGAGCUACUGCCUUCAGAGGCCCCUUGACAAGGUCACUAAGACCUCACGGCUUGUUACGUUCUGCAUCGGGAUCCCAGGAGACUGGAAGAGUCUAGGUCCCUCCCUCUAACCCCCAGGAGCUUGCUCAUGGGGAGGAAGGACGGUGAAACCUCAAUCUCCUCAUUCCUUCCAUCUGCUUAUUGCCUGCAGCGCGGGCAGGGCCUGCCAAGGACGGUGACCUCGUCAAAGGGCAGAAGAACUUCUGGUUUCUGUGUGGCCACUGGGGGACAGGAAUAGUGCUAAUGAAGUCUGUGCUGGCACAUGUGGCCUGGAAGCUAGAGGUAAGUCGGAGAGGCCUGCCUCAAGUCUUCAGAACAAGGCAGGGCACCCCUCCUAUCCAGAGCCGGGGCAGACAGAGAGGAAGAGAUUCUCCUUUCUUAGCAUUCCUGCAUCGAGACACCUGUAGUGAUUUGUGACACCCGAGGUGACCAGGAAAGGUCCUCCUCUAUUUCUGUACCUCAUAUCCUUGGGAAGGUUUUAAGGGGGUCAGAGGGCCCGACAUCACCUUGGAUUGUCCUCAUCCUUCUCCCACAACACGAGGCUGUUCUAGAUCACGAUUCCCUUCAGGAACCAGGCUGGUAACAAUCGUGAGCCAUAAGGAGGUGUAGG